GAAAUGCGAUAAGUAAUGUGAAUUGCAGAAUUCAGUGAAUCAUCGAAUCUUUGAACGCACAUUGCGCCCGUCAGCAUUCUGGCGGGCAUGCCUGUUCGAGCGUCAUUUCAACCCUCAGGACCCCCCUUUCGCGGGGAGGGACCUGGCGUUGGGGAUCGGCCCGCCCCCCGCGGCGGCGCCGUCCCCGAAAUCUAGUGGCGGUCUCGCUGCAGCCUCCCCUGCGUAGUAGUUACAACCUCGCAUCGGAGCGCGGCGCGGCCACGCCGUAAAACCCCCGACUUUCUGAACGUUGACCUCGGAUCAGGUAGGAAUACCCGCUGAACUUAGGC
rnacentral:misc_RNA from 1 species